AUAUGGAUUAUAGAGGACCCUAAAAGUGACCAAACAUGUAUGUUAACCAUCACAUUACUAUCCCGGCAUUUCCUUUGUGCGACAUGGCGUAAUUGCCCAAUUGAAGGUAAAGAAAAAGGGAAUUGUGUAGAUGUGGUCUCAGUAUUACGAGUGAUUUUGAAUCAUGUGACCGUGACUGUCUUCAUAUGGAUGAAGUUAUGCGGAGAAGAAAAAGAAACUGAUGACAAUAUAUCACGACUCACGAGAUGAGUGAUAAACUACACAAAAUGACAUAAUGAGUACUAUGUUGUAAAUUUACAAAGCCGGGUUCCCCACUAAUACAAAUUUAAAUGUCUACCACAUUUUGUUA